rnacentral:rRNA from 2 species
ACGCGUGUACGAGCGCAGUUCUAAUACAUGGCCAGAAGGAACAGAACAUCUGGUAUUGAUUGGUGCUUGCAUCAUGAUUUACAUUUGAGUGAGUGGCGAACUGGUGAGUAACACGUGGGAAACCUGCCCAGAAGCGGGGGAUAACACCUGGAAACAGAUGCUAAUACCGCAUAACAACUUGGACCGCAUGGUCCGAGCUUGAAAGAUGGCUUCGGCUAUCACUUUUGGAUGGUCCCGCGGCGUAUUAGCUAGAUGGUGGGGUAACGGCUCACCAUGGCAAUGAUACGUAGCCGACCUGAGAGGGUAAUCGGCCACAUUGGGACUGAGACACGGCCCAAACUCCUACGGGAGGCAGCAGUAGGGAAUCUUCCACAAUGGACGAAAGUCUGAUGGAGCAACGCCGCGUGAGUGAAGAAGGGUUUCGGCUCGUAAAACUCUGUUGUUAAAGAAGAACAUAUCUGAGAGUAACUGUUCAGGUAUUGACGGUAUUUAACCAGAAAGCCACGGCUAACUACGUGCCAGCAGCCGCGGUAAUACGUAGGUGGCAAGCGUUGUCCGGAUUUAUUGGGCGUAAAGCGAGCGCAGGCGGUUUUUUAAGUCUGAUGUGAAAGCCUUCGGCUCAACCGAAGAAGUGCAUCGGAAACUGGGAAACUUGAGUGCAGAAGAGGACAGUGGAACUCCAUGUGUAGCGGUGAAAUGCGUAGAUAUAUGGAAGAACACCAGUGGCGAAGGCGGCUGUCUGGUCUGUAACUGACGCUGAGGCUCGAAAGUAUGGGUAGCAAACAGGAUUAGAUACCCUGGUAGUCCAUACCGUAAACGAUGAAUGCUAAGUGUUGGAGGGUUUCCGCCCUUCAGUGCUGCAGCUAACGCAUUAAGCAUUCCGCCUGGGGAGUACGGCCGCAAGGCUGAAACUCAAAGGAAUUGACGGGGGCCCGCACAAGCGGUGGAGCAUGUGGUUUAAUUCGAAGCUACGCGAAGAACCUUACCAGGUCUUGACAUACUAUGCAAAUCUAAGAGAUUAGACGUUCCCUUCGGGGACAUGGAUACAGGUGGUGCAUGGUUGUCGUCAGCUCGUGUCGUGAGAUGUUGGGUUAAGUCCCGCAACGAGCGCAACCCUUAUUAUCAGUUGCCAGCAUUAAGUUGGGCACUCUGGUGAGACUGCCGGUGACAAACCGGAGGAAGGUGGGGAUGACGUCAAAUCAUCAUGCCCCUUAUGACCUGGGCUACACACGUGCUACAAUGGAUGGUACAACGAGUUGCGAACUCGCGAGAGUAAGCUAAUCUCUUAAAGCCAUUCUCAGUUCGGAUUGUAGGCUGCAACUCGCCUACAUGAAGUCGGAAUCGCUAGUAAUCGCGGAUCAGCAUGCCGCGGUGAAUACGUUCCCGGGCCUUGUACACACCGCCCGUCACACCAUGAGAGUUUGUAACACCCAAAGUCGGUGGGGUAACCU